GAAAAGAAUGAAGUUGGAAGUUAAAACCCUAGUUAGCUGCUGUUACUUACAGUGCCUGUCUUUCUGUCUGUCAGUUCCCUUUGAAAAUUGCUUAUUGAGAACGCAAUAUACACAUCCUCCAAUCCUAAACGCCAUCUCCUUUUCCUCUAAAUAGAAUCAUAUCUGUGAUUUCCCAACACUUUUCAUUUUCAACAAAAUCACUGAAUUUGCAAACAUUUAAACUGUUAUUGUGGCGGAAAUGGUGUCGUCAUGGAUAGUUGAUGUCAAAUAAUCAUAGUUACAUUGCCAUGAGAAGAAGAUUGAGAUUUUGCAUAUCUGUAAUAGUAUUUUAUUUUCAGUUUUUGAAGACAUGGUGAAUAAUUUCUGAGUCAUAACUUUAACUCAGAUUUUGCAUAUCUUCAGGUAUUUGUAUGUCCUACAAGACACAGCCUAGUGUGAAUCUAUUCAGGUGUGUCUGUAGUAUGUACCAUGGUGGAACUUUUGUGUACUAUAAUAAAUCAUUGAGUUAUAUGCUUUUAUUUCUUGGA